UACGUAGGGGGCAAGCGUUGUCCGGAUUUAUUGGGCGUAAAGAGCGUGUAGGCGGCCUGGAAGGUCAGCUGUGAAAACUCGAGGCUCAACCUCGAGACGUCGGUUGAAACCACCUGGCUAGAGUCCGGAAGAGGCUCGCGGAAUUCCCAGUGUAGAGGUGAAAUUCGUAGAUAUUGGGAAGAACACCGGUGGCGAAGGCGGCGACCUGGUCCUUGACUGACGCUGAGGCGCGAAAGCCAGGGGAGCAAACGGG
rnacentral:rRNA from 1 species